AUGAUCUGAAGAUAUUUCUUAAAAUUCUGUUAUGGAAGAUUGAAGCACCGGUGUAGUUUGAUUUGUGUUGCAGAAUUUGUUAUUUUGUGGACCAUAAAUUCUAGGCAGAAUGUUAUGGUGAUAAAAUUUGCUCAUUUAUUAUGGUGUGCCUAAACAUAGAUAUGAGUCCUUACUUUGAUCAAGUUGUUGCGAUGUUACGUCUCAGGCAUGAAUGUAAGUCAAAGUAUAUUACUAAAGUCACUGAGAAGCUUACUGAACUUCAAAGGUCUCAAAUUCAGAAAACACCAUUUAAAUGAAGGUGUCGCGAGGAGGACGUCUCCAUGGAUGAGAUUGAAAGGGUUAUUGAAAGGGAGGUGGCAAAUGUAUCAGAUGAUGAAGCACAUCAUGCAUCAAAUUUGUUGACUAGAAUUAAGGACAAGCCAAGAAAUCGUGUAAAAAGU